UCCCUCUUAGCUCAGUUGGUAGAGCGCGUCACUAGUAUUCAUAGAAGAAGACAUGUGAUGACGAGGUCAGUCGUUCAAGUCGGCUAGAGGGAA